rnacentral:rRNA from 1 species
GAUGAACGCUGGCGGCGUGCCUAAUACAUGCAAGUCGAACGCGCAGCGAAAGGUGCUUGCACCUUUCAAGCGAGUGGCGAACGGGUGAGUAACACGUGGAUAACCUGCCUCAAGGCUGGGGAUAACAUUUGGAAACAGAUGCUAAUACCGAAUAAAACUUAGUAUCGCAUGAUACAAAGUUGAAAGGCGCUACGGCGUCACCUAGAGAUGGGUCCGCGGUGCAUUAGUUAGUUGGUGGGUAAAGGCUACCAAGACAAUGAUGCAUAGCCGAGUUGAGAGACUGAUCGGCCACAUUGGGACUGAGACACGGGCCCAAACUCCUACGGGAGGCUGCAGUAGGGAAUCUUCCACAAUGGGCGAAAGCCUGAUGGAGCAACGCCGCGUGUGUGAUGAAGGCUUUAAGGGUCGUAAAGCACUGUUGUAUGGGAAGAAAUGCUAGAAUAGGGAAUGAUUCUAGUUCGACGGUACCAGUACCAG